rnacentral:sRNA from 1 species
ACUGGGUGUGGUGGCACAUGCCUGUAAUCCUAGCGACUUCGGAGGCUGAGGCCAGAGGAUUGCAAGUUUGAGGUCAGCCUCAGCAACUUAGCAAGACCCUGUCUCAA